rnacentral:lncRNA from 1 species
UUAAACUAUAGGUGAAUCAUAACAAUACCAGCUAACCUUGGAUUGGAAUUCAAAAACACAAAACAAGGCUGGCUGCUAAUCAAUCAGGGCAAGGUUAAAGAAAAAUCUGGUACAAUAGCCGUACGGUUUUUUAUAUACCGAAAAGCAUUCAUUCAUCAUGGAGUCCAGGAUGAUUUACGAUGUGAUGGUAGAACAUUGCUGGAUUAUCACCCUAUAAUUCUUGAAACUACAUUAGUUUCCAAUGCCAGUGAAUCGGCAAGGCUGAGACUUGCAAACUCAUCAACAUCUGGAAAAUGAAAUUUGCAAAUUCCUACGAAGAUCCUAUGCUUCAGCUGAUGUGAUAUUUCCACCAGUCCUGAUGUAUCAACACUGGUGCAGAGUCUACGACAAGCCAUGGCCCUUGAAGCUAAAUUCCAACCAAAGCUUCAACUUCUGUCAACACUCAACAGCCAGCAAUACAGGAGAAAGCGGUGAAAUUAUGUGUGCAAUGAGGGAUGGAGCUGCUCAUGUUCUUCGCUGCAUGAAAGUCUGGUAUGAUCUUCCUUAUGCAGUUCUUCUGGAUGCUCUCAACAUGAUGGACUGGUUCAUGAGCCGCAUGAAAGCACUCCUAAACACCUCUCAUGCAUAGCAAUCAGCUCCUUCCAUCUAGCAGCUUGCCAAUGGAUGGAGACGAUUAAACAGAACAACAUUGAGGUAUCUUCCAUUCAGAGUCCAUUAUUGUUCCUGAACCUUAAUAUCUGGUAACGAUAUCUUAAUGUAAAUGUACCGCCGGAGACAUCAACCGGAUGGAAAAAAUUGUCGAAGCCAAGUUAGCUUGUCUACCCCAAGAAGAACCGGUCACGACCUUAACAUUCCUCAACCUGUAUCACUCACUUCUCUCGACGACUUUACCUGCCGCUCUUCAGCAAGACCUUCUUAUUCUUUCAUGCAAGCAGGAGACCAUUUGCUGUGACGCAAAAUAAUGCUGCCUUUCCCUCAUCUCUUUUGGCUUUCGUCCUACUGUUUGUCGAAAUGAAGUGUCACCAGCCGGCCAUCGAGGUUAUUAUCAGAGACGUUUUACUAGAACUUCAGCGACUUGUUCAGGUCAAAGAUGACUAGUUGAAGGAGUGUAUAAGAAUGGCCACUUCGGCAAUGGCACCUUACGAUGGCUAUGCCCAAAGCAAUCCGUCUCAUCGUCAACGACUUACCUGGAAGUUGUCCUUUUUCUACUAUUUCUUUGCCUUCUAAACCAUUUAUAAUAAGUUUUGCCUUUAGUAAAGCAAAAUGCCUAGCUUUUUCUAGUCCUAUACCACUUACUUGUUGAGCCUGUGUAAAUUCGGGUCUCAGUGAUAUAUGAUUACCACUCUUAACAAGAAAACUAGAUAUUUCUUUAGUCACUACAUCAGAAGUUUCUCCAAGUGUGCGGUCGAAAAUUUUAGUCAAAAUUCCCUUCAUAGAUAAGAGAAAUAGAGCCGUAAUUUCAUCCUAUAAACGUUCAAUUAAUCUAUCAAAAAUCUUAUCUUGUUUAGGGUGGUUAUUAACCUUAUAUGUUAUUUAUAUAAAUUUAAAUACUAUAAAUAAUGGUUCGAAAUUAA